rnacentral:rRNA from 1 species
UACGAAGGGGGCUAGCGUUGCUCGGAAUCACUGGGCGUAAAGCGCACGUAGGCGGAUUGUUAAGUCAGGGGGUGAAAUCCUGGAGCUCAACUCCAGAACUGCCUUUGAUACUGGCGAUCUCGAGUCCGGGAGAGGUGAGUGGAACUGCGAGUGUAGAGGUGAAAUUCGUAGAUAUUCGCAAGAACACCAGUGGCGAAGGCGGCUCACUGGCCCGGUACUGACGCUGAGGUGCGAAAGCGUGGGGAGCGAACAGG